rnacentral:lncRNA from 1 species
AUGAAGCCAAAAUAGAGAAAGUAAUCAUACGCAGACUCGUUGCGGUCCAGAAUAGGAACUAGACUAGAACAGGGACAAGCGUGGCCCGUGUAUCACUAUUGUACCGAUAUUGUCCCAACUUAACUACUUUUAAGGUGUUGGGUUUUAACCAUAAAAGGCCUCGGUACAAUUAAGUGUGAUCUAUCCACUUAUAAGUUGUAUUUUAUUUGUCCCUUUUCUGAUGUGGGAUCUUUCCUCUCCAACACUCCCCCUCAUGUGCAACCUAAUUUUUAGGUCUGCACAUGGAAUUCAUUCAGUCCAAUUCCCACAUCGGAAAUCGGUAAUGCUUAAGUCCAAGGCCCACUGCAGGCACUUAGUAUGGUAUGGGCCAAUCGGAAUUUUUCCGAUGGCAAUUCGAUGAACCCAAAUCUGGGCUCAUUAUGCUGGGAGAUUUUCUCCCGUUACGCUGGGAGACGUAAUUGAAGAGGGACCCGCUCUGAUACCAACUAGAACAGGGAAAGAGUGGCCCGUGGAUCACUAUUGUACCGAUAUUGUCCCAACUUAACCACCUUUAAGGUGUUAGGUUUUAACCACAAAAGGCCUCGGUACAAUUAAGUGUGAUCCAUCCACUUAUAAGUUGUAUUUUAUUUGUCCUUUUUCUGAUG